AUGAGGAUCCAGCGUCCCACCACCUCCGCCACCAUCCGCUCCCUCACCGCCGCGGGGAACCACGCCGCCGCCCUCCGAGCGCUCUCCUCCCUCUCGGCCUCCUCCGCCCAGCUCGACCACUUCGCGCUCCCGCCGGCCAUCAAGUCCGCGGCCGCGCUCCGGGACGGCCGGGCCGCGCGCGCGCUCCACGCGGCCGCCCUCCGCCGCGCGCUCAUCCACCGGCCCACCCCCGCCGUCGGCAACGCGCUCCUCACAGCCUACGCGCGCUGCGGCGACCUCGACGGGGCCCUCACGCUCUUCGCCGCCACGCCGUCGGAGCUCCGCGACGCCGUGUCCUACAACUCGCUCAUCUCCGCGCUCUGCCUGUUCCGGCAGUGGGAGCGCGCGCUCGACGCCCUCCGCGGCAUGCUCGCCGAGGCCCGCCACGACGUCAGCUCCUUCACCCUCGUCAGCGUGCUCCUCGCCUGCUCCCACCUCGCCGGCGACGACGGCUGCCGCCUCGGCCGCGAGGCCCACGCCUUCGCGCUCAAGCACGGCUUCCUCGACGAGGGCGGCAGCGCAGCUCCAGUGCUCUCUCUUCGCCAUCUGAGACCUAGAGACACAACUCUCCUGUCUCUAGCAAGUAGCAAGUCAACAACAACGAGGCGACACAAGAUAACCAACUUUCUAAAACUAGUUAAUAGCCAAAUGGAUUCAAGAAUAUGCUUCGAUACGCCCCCUUACAAACCGUACAAGGGUAGUAUGGUCAUUUGA
rnacentral:rRNA from 1 species